rnacentral:lncRNA from 1 species
AACUGACUCCUCCCACAAUAUUAUGAUGUUCCCCAAGUUUUGGACUCAAUCCGAUAUCGAUUGGUCCUUGAAAUCGGACAAUUCAGGUUCGUACGAAGUUCGUUCUGAAAUGGGGUGGUUGGUGUAUUGUAUAGUUCUAGAGAUUGGAUUUCACUCAAAACCCACCAAAUGACUCCUCCCACAAUAUUAUGAUGUUCCCCAAGUUUUGGACUCAAUCCGAUAUCUAUUGGGGCUUGAAAUCGGACAAUUCAGGUUCGUACGAAGUUCGUUCUGAAAUGGAGUGGUUGGUGUAUUGUAUAGUUGUAGGGAUUAUAUUUCACUCAAAACCCACCAAAUGACUCCUCCCACAAUAUUAUGAUGUUCCCAAGUUUUGGACUCAAUCCGAUAUCGAUUGGGACUUGAAAUCGGACAAUUCAGGUUCGUACCAAGUUCGUUCUGAAAUGGAGUGGUUGGUGUAUAGUGUAGUUCUAGGGAUUGUAUUUCACUCAAAACCCACCAAAUGCCUCCUCCCACAAUAUUAUGUCGUUCCCCAAGUUUUGGACUCAAUCCGAUAUCGAUCAGUCUACGAAAUAUAACAAUUUAGGUUCGUACGAAGUUCGUUCUGAAAUGGAGUGGUUGGUGUAUUGUAUAGUUCUAAAGAUUGGAUUUCACUCAAAACCCACCAAAUGACUCCUCCCACAAUAUUAUGAUGUUCCCCAAGUUUUGAACUCAAUCCGAUAUCGAUUGGUCCUUGAAAUCGGACAAUUCAGGUUCGUACGAAGUUCGUUCG